rnacentral:tmRNA from 1 species
GGGGGUGCACCGGUUUCGACUGUUACGGUUCGAGGUACAUGUUGCAGGUGGAGUGCCGAUCUCCUGAUUCGGCAAAACUUAUAAUUGCCAACAACAAUUAUGAUUACGCUCUCGCUGCGUAAGCAGUAGGGCGCGGGAACCGGCUCCGCCGCUUUGAGGAUCCGGACCUUCCGACGCAAUCAAGGCUGGAUCUAUGGUGUGUCCGGGCAUCAUAGGUCGAGAAAUUCCGGAAUACGGACAUUCAGCGUGCCGUGAAGCUAAGAGUGUCCCGACAAUAACGAUCACGGCUAAAUCUGUAGACGCGUGUGCAUCGCGUAGUAGGACGCGGGUUCGACUCCCGCCACCUCCA